GACGAACGCUGGCGGCGUGCCUAAUACAUGCAAGUAGAACGCACAGUUUAUACCGUAGCUUGCUACACCAUAGACUGUGAGUUGCGAACGGGUGAGUAACGCGUAGGUAACCUGCCUGGUAGCGGGGGAUAACUAUUGGAAACGAUAGCUAAUACCGCAUAAUAUUGAUUAUUGCAUGAUAAUUAAUUGAAAGGUGCAAUUGCACCACUACCAGAUGGACCUGCGUUGUAUUAGCUAGUAGGUGAGGUAACGGCUCACCUAGGCGACGAUACAUAGCCGACCUGAGAGGGUGAUCGGCCACACUGGGACUGAGACACGGCCCAGACUCCUACGGGAGGCAGCAGUAGGGAAGCUUCGGCAAUGGACGAAAGUCUGACCGAGCAACGCCGCGUGAGUGAAGAAGGGUUUCGGAUCGUAAAGCUCUGUUGUAAGAGAAGAACGGGUGUGAGAGUGGAAAGUUCACACUGUGACGGUAUCUUACCAGAAAGGGACGGCUAACUACGUG
rnacentral:rRNA from 1 species